AUGUCUCUAUUAAGGCAGAAUUAUUUAUUUGUUUAUAUUUUUUUAAUUCUUGUCAUACAAGAGUGCCUAAUGCCCAACUAAUAUUUUUUCUCCCCAUAUUUCAAGUUCGGUAGAGGACUUCAAUGGUGAAGUCCUUAAAAAUGGCAAAUUUUAAACUGCUUUUUAAAACACCUACUAAUAUCUCAUUUUAUUUUCGCUAUUUCAUAAUAUAGAAGUAUUAAGACAUAUGGAUUGUUAUAUAUGCAAACGUGGCAUAAAAAUAUUGUAGGGUGAAGAGAUGAAGUGCUUUCAUGUGUUAAAUAAAUUAUUAAAUAUUUAAGUAAUUCUUAAUAUUUGUUUCUAUGGUGACAAUUGAGAAUAAAUCUAAUUUUUGCUACCAGAAAAAAACUGUAAUACGUACAAAUAUAAUAUAAACACUGUGUGAUCGGCAAUUAAUAAAAACCGAUAACAAAUUAUGUGGAGAACCAUUCUUAAGGCAGCGGCAGUGACCAUCUGUGCCGCAGGAGCUUACCAAGUUUACCGGCAUUUUAAACGUGAAAUAAUUGAAAUACCUGAAUAUUAUGAACGGCAGGAACUGGAGAAAAAGCGAGACAUUGCAAGCCACCGAAAGGUAAGAGGCAAGACCGAUCAGUAUAUCUUCACUAAUAUCUCUGAUGAAGAAAGUGAUGAAGAAGAAAGCAACCCGAUUAUGACGAACAACAGCCAAGAAGAAAACGACGCACCAUCGACAAGCCAAGAAAAUCGAACAGAACCACCCACCGAGGAAGAACUUCUGACUAUGAAAAUAAUUAAUGAAAUAAUAAGAACUAAGCCAUGGCUUUUGGAAGAAGAAAAUCCGUUUUCAACUGGGGACUCUAACAAUGAAAAUUCCGACGAUCCUCCCAGACCGUCGGGAACCUAGUUCGAUAAACACAUGGGCAGCAUGUGCUGUCCACCUUCGUCCCAUCAAAUAAUGAAUUUGAUGGGACACCAUGAACAAAUAACGAUAUAUAGAGGGGCAAAAGUAACAUAAUGUAGCAAAAAGCUAUAUCAAUAACAAACCUAUCAAUUCAAUACUUAAUUCAUCUUGAAUCAAAAUAAUAGACAAAAACGAAGUGACUCCAGACACAAUUCACUUGGCACAUGACAUUUGAUGACAAUAUGUGGAACUGGUGUCAAAGUUGAACUUCAGACUAAACAACCAUAAUUUUUCUUACUUAAAAAUUUGCUUUAUAAAAUGGAUUACCAGGUUAAAAUCUGAAAUGGUUGUGUCGAUGCAAGGUAAACAAAGUUUUGGAUGUUGUCGAAUUAAAUUUUUUUAUUGUCAUAAUUUUUUUCCAUAAAUAAUGUCGUACAUGAUGAUAAAGAUCACUCACUCACUCACUCACUCACUCUCUCUCUCUCUCUCC